CCUACGGGUGGCUGCAGUGAGGAAUAUUGGUCAAUGGGCGAGAGCCUGAACCAGCCAAGUCGCGUGAGGGAGUACUGCCCUAUGGGUUGUAAACCUCUUUUGUCGGGGAGCAAAAGCCGGACGUGUCCGGCUGUGAGAGUACCCGAAGAAAAAGCAUCGGCUAACUCCGUGCAAGCAGCGGCGGUAAUACGGGGGAGGCGAGCGUUAUCCGGAUUUAUUGGGGUAAAGGGGUGCGCAGGCGGAUUGUUAAGUCAGCGGUCAAAGCGUGGGGCUCAACCCCAUCCAGCCGGUGAAACUGGGGAUCUAGAGUGUGCGAGAGGUAUGCGGAAUGCGUGGUGUAGCGGUGAAAUGCAUAGAUAUCACGCAGAACCCCGAUGGCGAAGGCAGCAUACCGGUGCACAACUGACGCUCAGGCACGAAAGCGUGGGUAUCGAACAGGAUUAGAUACCCGUGUAGUC
rnacentral:rRNA from 1 species